rnacentral:tRNA from 1 species
ACUUGAAUAGCUUAAUUAUAAAAGUUCAACUUUGAAGCAGUUGAGAUAGGUAACUACCUUUCAAGUA